GAUGAAGAACGCAGCGAAAUGCGAUAAUUAAUGUGAAUUGCAGAAUUCAGUGAAUCAUCGAGUCUUUGAACGCACAUUGCGCCCCCUGGUAUUCCGGGGGGCAUGCCUGUCCGAGCGUCAUUGCUGCCCUCAAGCCCGGCUUGUGUGUUGGGCCUCGUCCCCCCUCCGGGGGACGGGCCCGAAAGGCAGCGGCGGCACCGUGUCCGGUCCUCGAGCGUAUGGGGCUUUGUCACCCGCUCUGUAGGCCCGGCCGGCGCCUUAGCCGACGACACAAUCUUUUUUUUCAGGUUGACCUCGGAUCAGGUAGGGAUACCCGCUGAACUUAAGCAUAUCAAUAGCGGAGA
rnacentral:misc_RNA from 1 species